CAAAGUCCCCCCUACACCUCCCGAGAAGACGUGGGUGAGGAAGCCCCGGCCUUUGUCUGUGGACCUAACUUCCAUUUUUGAGAGUGGAGACACGUUGCUGAGGAAGGUGACUAGGGAGCAGAGCACUGCAGAACGCCAGGGCCCAGAGAGGCCAGGCGUGGAGCCCAGGGGCAAUGUGGAGAGCCCUGCCCGCGUGGAUGGCACCCCUCGGGACCCUGAUGCGGAAUUCCAGGAGCUGUCAAAGAGGCUCCAUGCACGGAAGGAGAAGAUGGUCCUUAAGCAAACAGACACAGACAGUCCCAGGGCUCCAAGGGCCAGGGCUACCCCUGGAGAUGAUCAGAGUCCCCAGCAAGAGGAAGCCAUGCCAGAGCAGCAAUGGGAGAAGGUGCAGGAGUCCCCUUCACCCAGACCUGAAAGAGGGCUGGGGCUGACAGAGGUCAAGGGUGAA
rnacentral:lncRNA from 1 species